rnacentral:rRNA from 1 species
GGUGGCGGAUGGGCAUGCGUCGCAUUAGUUAGUUGGCGGUGUAACGGACCACCAAGACGACGAUGCGUAGGGGUUCUGAGAGGAAGGUCCCCCACACUGGUACUGAGACACGGACCAGACUCCUACGGGAGGCAGCAGUGAGGAAUAUUGGUCAAUGGGCGGGAGCCUGAACCAGCCAAGUCGCGUGAGGGAUGACGGCCCUAUGGGUUGUAAACCUCUUUUGCCGGGGAGCAAAGUGCCGCACGUGUGCGGUUUGGAGAGUACCCGGAGAAAAAGCAUCGGCUAACUCCGUGCCAGCAGCCGCGGUAAUACGGAGGAUGCGAGCGUUAUCCGGAUUUAUUGGGUUUAAAGGGUGCGUAGGCGGACGCCUAAGUCAGCGGUAAAAUUGCGGGGCUCAACCUCGUCGAGCCGUUGAAACUGGGUGCCUUGAGUGGGCGAGAAGUACGCGGAAUGCGUGGUGUAGCGGUGAAAUGCAUAGAUAUCACGCAGAACUCCGAUUGCGAAGGCAGCGUACCGGCGCCCAACUGACGCUGAAGCACGAAGGCGUGGGUAUCGAACAGGAUUAGAUACCCUGGUAGUCCACGCAGUAAACGAUGAAUGCUAGUUGUCCGGGGCG